rnacentral:rRNA from 1 species
AGUGAACGCUGGCGGUAGGCCUAACACAUGCAAGUCGAACGGCAGCACAGUAAGAGCUUGCUCUUACGGGUGGCGAGUGGCGGACGGGUGAGGAAUACAUCGGAAUCUACUUUUUCGUGGGGGAUAACGUAGGGAAACUUACGCUAAUACCGCAUACGACCUACGGGUGAAAGCAGGGGAUCUUCGGACCUUGCGCGAUUGAAUGAGCCGAUGUCGGAUUAGCUAGUUGGCGGGGUAAAGGCCCACCAAGGCGACGAUCCGUAACUGGUCUGAGAGGAUGAUCAGCCACACUGGAACUGAGACAGGGUCCAGACGCCUACGGGAGGCAGCAGUGGGGAAUAUUGGACAAUGGGCGCAAGCCUGAUCCAGCCAUACCGCGUGGGUGAAGAAGGCCUUCGGGUUGUAAAGCCCUUUUGUUGGGAAAGAAAAGCAGCAGGUUAAUACCCCGCUGUUCUGACGGUACCCAAAGAAUAAGCACCGGCUAACUUCGUG